AUGGCGCCGCGACGACCCCAUCAUCGCCGUUCCCAGCGGUUUGCAAAGCACAUCUCUAGCACAAACAUCAGAUCGGCGACGGCGAUGCGAUCCAAGUUUGUUGCCGCGGUGACGAUCUUGGUGAUGGUGAUGCUACUGAUCAUGGCGUUGCUCGUCACCGGAAGCUCGGGGCCACGGGUGCUGGGCGGCGAGCCUGCCGUUCAGCCUCCCCGGCACUCGUAUCUGCGGCGGCUGUCGGCGCCGGGAGAGCCAGGCUUGUCGUGCAAGACGAAUAGUCCGACAGGUGGCUGCCGUUGUGAGGCAGACGGACCGGCCGGGGCUUGA
rnacentral:rRNA from 1 species